GUGGGGAAUUUUGCGCAAUGGGCGAAAGCCUGACGCAGCAACGCCGCGUGUGUGAUGAAGGUCUUCGGAUUGUAAAGCACUUUCGACCGGGACGAAAACCCGUAGCCCAAUACGCUACGGCUUGACGGUACCGGGAGAAGAAGCACCGGCUAACUCUGUGCCAGCAGCCGCGGUAAUACAGAGGGUGCAAGCGUUGUUCGGAAUUAUUGGGCGUAAAGCGCGUGUAGGCGGCGUGACAAGUCGGGUGUGAAAGCCCUCAGCUCAACUGAGGAAGUGCGCCCGAAACUGUCGUGCUUGAGUGCCGGAGAGGGUGGCGGAAUUCCCCAAGUAGAGGUGAAAUUCGUAGAUAUGGGGAGGAACACCGGUGGCGAAGGCGGCCACCUGGACGGUAACUGACGCUGAGACGCGAAAGCGUGGGGAGCAAACAGGAUUAGAUACCCUAGUAGUCC
rnacentral:rRNA from 1 species